UAAAAAUCCAAAAGGACUGGGUUCAGAGGGCUUUUGGAGAGCUGGACAUGUGGAGGCCGACAGGAAGGUGAAGAAGUCAUCUGCGUGCUGUGAGGGUGGCGCACCCCAACUCCAUGGGGACAGAAGGUCCUGCAUUUAGGACCCUUCCAGACCUCACACCUAUGUAUCUCUUCAUCUGGCUGAUUACUUAUAUCCUUUCAAAGACGCUUCUUAGUAAACUGUGCCUCCCUCACAUGGCCAGCGGAGAAGGGCCUUGCCCUACCUCUCAGACUGCAGCCCUGAGCCACUCCUUGGAGGUGAGGAGCACCAUUCACCUGAGCAGCUCCCCGCCCUGGUGUCUGAGAAAUAAAUCUGCCUUCAGUCAUACGGUUCUACCAAUCUGAGCACACGACCACCUGAUAGGGUACUGAGGAUGGCUUCUGACCUGGAGGCAUCAAGGACCUGAAGGCAGUAACCAUUUCAGAGGACAGCCACAUCCCUCAAAUUACAAACAUCUAAAAUGUCCAUUAACUGUUGAGUGGAUAUAUAAAUUCUGAUGUUUUAUAAAAUGGCAUACCCUACAUCAAUGAAGAUGAAUGAAUUACUUCUGCAUAAAACAAUAUACAUGCAUCUAACCAAUAUGACACUGAGUGAAAAAAGACAUCCAUAGAAGAGCACAGCUCACCAUUCAGGAGCAUCACCCUGGUCCAAGCCACCUUCAGCUCUCACCUAGACUAACACAGUUCUUCCUGUCUCCAUGAGCCUCCUCUCCAGUUGCUGUAUUGCAAAUAACAAUCAAAACAGCAUUUAAAAGCAAAACAACAACAGCAAACAAAUGGUAUCUAUCCAGGUCUCACUGCAUUGUCCUCACGGCACUUGGGAGCCAGGGGAACUGACACGUGAUGUUCAUACUUACUGCUAUUCUCGGAGUAACAAAAAAAAAAUUCACUUUCUUCGACCAGGAGACAUCAUGUUUUCUACCAGCAUUCUUGAAACUAUGGCAAGUUAACUAGUUAUCAGUGAUAAGCUGUGGAUAUAACUCUUUUCUUCAACGAUGGUCGUAAUGAAUCAACAAUGUUAAUGCAUGUGGAAGCAUCCAGUGAAAUGCUGGGCACCCAUCAGCCCUUCCUCCCGGCCUCCAUUUUUUUCUUUCCCUCUUUCUCUUCUCUUUCAUUACUUUCUCUUAGGAAAAAUAGUAAAUAAUCAAAU
rnacentral:lncRNA from 1 species